UGAAGUGCUUUUCCAACGUCUAAAGCAGAGUUAAAAAGCUAUAAAACCACUCCCUUCUGCUUCUUUGCUCUUUCUAUCUCUCUCUCUCUCUCUACGUUGGAAAAUGCGAAAGUGUUUUUGCUUUCUGUUGGAAUUCCAAAGGAACUCUCAAUUGAAGGUUUCUUUGAGAUUUCGUCGCCUACAGAAAUAAGUAAAAGCAAAUUCUUCGUCUCAAUUCUCUCGAUCAUCGGAUUGUUUUCUCGUUCACGAAGAAAAUUCAACAAACAACUUCAUCGAUCACUGAUACUAUCAACGUAAUGGCAGAAAGACAGACAUUUGCAAUCAACUACCAAGAGGGGGCAUAUAGAUUCCAUGAUGCAUACAGAUUCCGAGUGCACAUGUCACUUCGGACAAAGAUGGAUAUUAUGACUAUAAUUAGGAAUAAACUAACAUUUACUCAGAGAGCCAUUUUUCGGACAACCUGUUUUGGACACUUAUUAGAUUUCACGGAGCCACGAUUCAGUGCCAUAUUUAUUCAAGCGAUGUUAUUUCGUAUGAUCAACCGCGGGAACCCAGACAAAGAAAUAUGGUUCAGAAUAAAUGGUGUUGAAUUUCGAUUCAGUCCUGUUGAGUUUGCACUAGUCACUGGUCUGAUUUUUGGGGAGGACAUGGAUGUGUCCAAUUACGUUAAUUGCACGGAGACGCCUCGAUUGAGAGAGGAAUACUUCCCGAACAUUCACAGGUUGUUAUCCCAUGGGGAGAUCGAGCAAGCAUUCAACAAUGAAAUUUGGGGAGACAAUGAUGACGACGCAGUGAAGUUCGCGGUCUUAUAUUAUGCAUUUACAGGAUUAUUAGGGGCAGACAACAGAACCAAAAUACCUGAUCAUUUUUUGCAUUUAGUGGAUAAUUUAGAUGCAUUUAGUCGAUACCCAUGGGGAACACUGACAUGGAAUAAAACAGUUGACUCAAUGCGGAAAGGUAUCCAUAACAAAUAUCAGUAUUGUGUUGAACAUUACCCCCCAUACACAAGUCCGCUUCCACUUCUCAGUUACAGUAUUUUAGGAUACCCGAUUGCUUUUCAAUAUUGGAUUUAUGAGACGAUUCAAAAUCUAUCGCCUUAUAUCCGUCUGGAAGUAAAUGAUCGAAUCCCCCGUAUCUUGAAAUGGAAAACAAUUGUACUACCUACAUGGGAUGACAUAUUAAUACUUUGGGACGCUCCUCCGGAGGGGAUUACAACUACAUUACAUCCGACCGAGACUGAGCGUUACUCUGAGUGGUAUAUUCGAGCUUUAGAGUUUAUGGGAGAAGAUACACCAUCGACAUCAUCAGAUGACGAGUCUAUAGAUUCAGACAAUGAUGAUGACAUCCAGUCGAAUCAUUCUAUUCCUUUUCAGAUAGCCCCUAGAGGGUCUUCACAGUCUUCCACCGCUUCCUUACGAAUAUCUUUAUCACGAGGUGCCAGACCCGUUAUUCCUCUGACGUCUCAUAUUAGACAGACAUCCCCUUCACAUGUGUCAUCCUCUCGCACUGGACACCCCCGAGAGUCACAUAGGGCCUUUGAUAAUGUACGUGUUUUCCCUCCACAAAUGUUUACUUCUCGUGGCUCUCAUCCUCAAGAGCACCAGAUGGACGAGCUUGUAAGACACUCGAUCCAUGGGACAUCGUACAGUGAUGUAUCAUAUGACCGUCUUCAACAGAUCUUAACAGAACAUGGAAGAGGCAUAAGCUCUCAGAUACAACAACAAUUAGACCAGCACGCUGUAAUGAUGCGUACGGAGUGGGAGAGACAGUUAUCAAUGUUUCGUGAGGAGAUGCAAUCACAUUGGCAACAACAAACAUCGAUAUUUCAUAAGGAGAUACAGGAUCAACGACAACAACAAACAUCGAUACUUCGGGGGGAGAUGCAAGAACUCCAAACAUCAUUAAAUAAUCGAAUUGCAAGACUUGAGGAUUCUUAUGUUCAGGCAUCAAGAUCAAUACCGUUGGAUGACUUAUCGGAUAAUAAUGUCCGACAACAAGUGCAGGACCAACCAAUCACUAUUCAGAAGUUGACAAGAACUAAAAAAGUGUGAGCAUUCAGGGAAAUAGUUGGUAAGUCUAUUCAUAGAUCCAACAAAGGCAAAAAAGAACAAACAACCCAUACCUGAGGACCAUUAUUUGGACUUGCGAUUGGCUAAGGCCUAUUCAGAGUUCUUAUUAUGGUAUCAUCAUGUAUCAGGUAAUGGCACUCGACAUAUCUUCCUUGGGGGACCAACUGGAAUGACUACCUAUAUACACAAAUUAUGAUGGACCCAAAUUGUAACACCAGGGAAAUGGUUAAAAAACAUGUAUUCAUUCCCUUCAACAUUGACAAUCAACAUUAGAUGUAUGGCGUAUUAGAUAUCAACAAUUGGAAGUUGUAUGUAUACGACUCUGCCUAAUAUACCACUAGCUUAGAGAGGGUGAAGAAGUUAAUGAUCCCAUAUAGGACACUGACACACCUAAUGAAGGCGAGUAAUUUCUAUACAUCAAAGAGAAUUCAAUUGCUAGUUAUUCCGCUGACAUUACAAUACAAGUGUAUUCGUGAUAUGCCAAAACAAGAUGUAGGAAGCCGAGACUAUUACGUUUUUUUACUUAUGUUUGCGGAAUAUCUUGCCUGAGAUCGGCCAUUUAAUUUCACAGUGAAACAUUUCAGGAGGUUAAAAAGUGCGUGGCUAAAACCAUAUUCCAAGGAAGGGCCUUCACUAAGUAUUUAGUGUUUAUGAGUUUAUUUAUAUGUUAGCAGACUUUACUUAAUUGGUUGUAUUUAUUAAAUUCAAUUAGAUUAUGAAAAUGUAGACUUUGAGGAAUUUGAUUAAGGUAUGGGUGGGCGGGCAUGCAUAUGGAUUGUAUGUCAUUUUGUUAUUGUUUGAA